UAAAUAAAUGUUGAAGACCCAUUUUAUGGCAUAAGAAUGCAUUGUGUACCAGACGGAUAAGCAGAAAAACAGGAA